rnacentral:lncRNA from 1 species
UACUCCAUUACGUAGUAAAUGCCUUUUGGGUAGUAAUAACUGCCUGCAUUGAACUGAGAAAGAGAAGUAUGUAUAUAAUCAUGAAAAAUGAAUGUUAUUUUGCUUAAAAAGAAAUGGAAAAUGGAUCAUGCGUACCGGUGGACCAGGAGCAUGACCAGUUGCAUUUGUAGCUGUGAACACAAGGAUGGAAUAAUUUAUGAAAAUGUUGGACCAGGAGCAUGGUCAGAAAAUGUUGUAAUUACAAUGAGAUAGAUAUAUCGAAAUAUUUUAACUAAGUGGAAAUAGAGUGGUACAUGUGAGAGUUGCGCGUGAGUCCAUCAAGGCAGUGUGUACGUCCGGAGGAACAAUCGUGUCAUUAUUUUGGGCGUACUGAGUGACGUAAUAGUUGAGACCAAGAAAAUCAUAUGAACCCUUUACAAGGGCAGCUUCUGUUUCAUUGAACUCUGGAAGCCGAUCUCCCACAUAUUCCCUCAUGAUGUCUGGGUAUUUACCUUCUGUUAGCGGCCCCAUGAACCUGCAUGCAUAUUUCUAAUUAGCUUACUUAUACAUAUCAAUGUUUAAAAAUCAUUUCAUAUUUUGAUAUUAUAUACCAUCCAUGGAAAAAUUCUUUAGCCCGCUCAGUUGCCUCCUUACUCUCCGGAGUGUCAUCAUAUGGAAGAAACCAUCUAGUUAUCAUCACAGGUCCAAUCUUUCCUCCUUGGUCCUGUGGUCACGUAAGCAUAUAUAUACACAAUGAUGAUUAAAAUAUAAUCACAUGUUAGAUCACACAUUUUAAAAUAUGGAGAACUCACCUUAUAUUUCGUCCUGUAAACAUCAACAGCCGCUGCAUGAGCAAGAAGCUGGUUAUGUGCAACGAGAUAUGGUUCUGUUGACGAAUUUCCGCCAGGGCAUCUUUCGUCAAUCUUAGGAGAACAUCGACCGGGUGCAUCUGUUCCUAGUGCAUAUCCUCUCGUAGGAACUGUGUAUAAUUGGUUGAUCGUGAUCCAGUUCUUUACCCUAUCACCAAAAAGUUCGAAACAUAGAUCCGCGUAAUCCUUGAAAUCGUCUCUGCCCAUAUUAUAAAGUCAUUUCGUUAGUGUAAGAUCAAAAUAUUUCUAUUUUUUUAUCGUUUUUAAUAAUUAGCAUGGCAUCAAAUACAUACAUGAUCGUUCUGUUCAAGAAACCAUUAUAUUCAUCUUGCAAUGUUUGAGGAAG